AACAUCAUUUUUAUAUCGCAGAUGCACUACCAAUUUAACUGAUCUCACUUCUUAUGAGUUUCAGGAGAUGAACUCGAUUUUGUUUCAAGGUUCCUCUUGGUUUGGUACUGUUAAGCGUAGAUCAAAUAAGAACGUUGCUGGGCGCCUGGUGCUGACCAUAUUGUAUGGGUUGAGGCAUUGGGAAUCAGCUGUAUCUAUAUCU
rnacentral:snoRNA from 24 species